AACAGAAUUGAACAGAAUUUGCAAGUGAUUCGCUACUGAACAAGUUCGAUGAUGUCAAACAAAUCUCCAACUGGUUCUUCAAAGGGCAUAUUUUGAGCGACUUUAUCGAGAUUUUAUGAGGCGACAGUUUGACCUGAUUUGGGACGCGAUCGACGACGAGGUGGUCGAGGCUCGGCUUGAGGAACUCUAGCCCAAAAUGUCCGAUCUGUGAUCGGUGAUCGAGAUGCCCGACACCGAAGCAUCGGUUCUGUCAUAACAAAAUCACCCAAAUCUCAAAUUAAAAUAUCUGAGUCAGGCAUUCUUUGCCCAAGAUCCACGUAUAAAUAGCUGUGCGUUGAUUUGCUAUGCGCUCGAGAAGCUACCGCUGCGUAGGUGCUCGACGAAUUGCGGCAUGUGCUGAGCCCGUUUCUGGACGAGGAUCUGCGGAUGCAGCAAUGGGAUAGCAUUUGAAUGAAUCAUUAUGUUAUUUUUAGGAAGGAAUUAUGAUGUUAUUUUAAUCAUACAGAUUUCUACUGUAAUGGUGAAAUAAAAAACACUCUAGAAUGAA